rnacentral:rRNA from 1 species
GACGAACGCUGGCGGCGUGCUUAACACAUGCAAGUCGAACGGAGUGGCGAACGGGUGAGUAACACGUGGGUGAUCUGCCUUGCACUUCGGGAUAAGCUUGGGAAACUGGGUCUAAUACCGGAUAGUGCAAGAUGAGCUCGCGGCCUAUCAGCUUGUUGGUGGGGUAAUGGCCUACCAAGGCGUCGACGGGUAGCCGGCCUGAGAGGGUGUACGGCGACAUGGGGACUGAGGUACGGACCAGACUCCUACGGGAGGCAGCAGUAGGGAAUCUUGCGCAAUGGGCGGAAGCCUGAGGAAGCGACGCUGGGUGUGGGAUGAAGGCCUUCGGGUUGUAAACUUCUUUCGACAGGGACGAGGUACCUGUAUAAGAAGCACCGGCUAACUACGUGCCAGCAGCCGCGGUAAUAC